rnacentral:rRNA from 1 species
CGGGCAUCCUGCUGCUGUUCUCCGGGAUGAUGGGGACACUGUUGGGACCGCCUCUGCUAAAGAGGAGGAAGGAAUGGGCAACGGUAGGUCAGCAUGCCCCGAAUUACCCGGGCUACACGCGGGCUACAAUGGGCAGGACAAUGGGUAUCGACACCGAGAGGUGAAGGCAAUCCCCUAACCCUGUCCUUAGUUCGGAUUGUGGGCUGCAACUCGCCCACAUGAAGCUGGAAUCCGUAGUAAUCGCGUCUCAAAAUGGCGCGGUGAAUAUGUCCCUGCUCCUUGCACAA